rnacentral:rRNA from 1 species
UUUACAACUUUAGAAAGACGAGAAGACCCUAGAACCUAUUCUAUCUAUAUAGUUUGUUGGGGUGACAUUAUUCAAUAACAAAUAACUAUUAAAACUUAUUGACUGACUACAUCUAUCUUUUAUUAAAAAAAAAAAGGUACUCUAGGGAUAACAGCAUAAUCUUCUUCUAAAGCCCUAAUCGACAAAAAAGAUUUUGACCUCGAUGUUGAAUUGAUAUUUCUUUCUAAAGCAAAAUUUUUUAAAGAGGGUCUGUUCGACCUCUAACUUAUCACGUGAUCUGAGUUCAAACCGGAC